CACCAGAGAUGGUGGUCUCUUUGGACACUCAUGUACAGGUGGUGCAUGGUUGUCGUCAGCUCGUGUCGUGAGAUGUUGGGUUAAGUCCCGCAACGAGCGCAACCCUCGUCCUAUGUUGCCAGCACGUUAUGGUGGGGACUCAUAGGAGACUGCCGGGGUCAACUCGGAGGAAGGUGGGGAUGACGUCAAAUCAUCAUGCCCCUUAUGUCUUGGGCUUCACGCAUGCUACAAUGGCCGGUACAAAGGGCUGCGAUA
rnacentral:rRNA from 1 species